rnacentral:tRNA from 1 species
GGUGUAGUUCAGUGAUAGAGCGUGUGCUUAACAUGCACAAGGCCCUGAGUUCCAUACCCAGUACC